UACGGAGGGUGCAAGCGUUGUUCGGAAUCAUUGGGCGUAAAGCGCGUGUAGGCGGCUUGGCAAGUCAGUUGUGAAAGCCCGGGGCCCAACCCCGGAACUGCAUCUGAAACUGCCUGGCUCGAGUCCCGGAGAGGAAGGCAGAAUUCCCGGUGUAGGGGUGAAAUCCGUAGAUAUCGGGAGGAACACCAGCGGCGAAGGCGGCCUUCUGGACGGUGACUGACGCUGAGACGCGAAAGCGUGGGGAGCAAACAGG
rnacentral:rRNA from 1 species